GGUCAGUCGGUCCAAAUUAAUUAUACGGAACAAAAAAUUCAUAUUCCACAUCAAAGAAUCCCCAACUCAGAUCAAGGCACUGGUAGACCCAAUCUACUGACCUGUCUAUUUAUUUGUAUUAUUGGUUUUCUUUCUCAGUUAUUUAUUUAAAAUAUGAUACAUGUAUACAAUAUUCAUAUCAAUGUUAUCUGACGUCCAGUAGGGUACAUAUGUUUUUUUGUUUUCAUUUUACUUACUAUGUUUGUAUUUAUUUUUGUACGAAUUAUUGUAUGUAUCGUAUAAGUCAAACGCAUGGUUCUUGGUUAAAAACAACACAUUAAUCAUAGUUAGCUGCGGUAAGAGCUCCUUACAUGUACACAAACUCUCAUACACAUUUGUGGACAGAUUGGAUACUCUUGGAGAUUUUGAGAUGAAUAAUCAAUAUAACGAUAAACUCACUCUGAAGAUUUGAUUCUACCUUAUUCAUCUACCAGAUGAGUUUUUUUUUAUAGCUGACACAUUUUUUAAAACAACUUCAUUUUUGUGAGUUAAUGCCAUUUUAUAGAAUUCUUCAAUACGAAUCUAGUCAAAAACAUGAAUGAGUCUGAAUGAUAUUGUCACACGCUUUUAUAUUUGUACAAAUGUUUUAUCAGGUUUGAAAUCAUGUGAAAGGUACUUCAACUUUUACACUACAUGUAUUAUCAUAUUCUCUUAAUGUAACGUAUGUGUAAAUGUCUGUUUCUUAUCUUAUCUGCAUUUCAAAUUUCCUUUUACAAUUUUGUUGAUAAGUGACUAAAAUUCAAAUUUGAGUCAAUGUGAUAAAAUAUUAGGAAUGUUUACCGUCAAAGUAUUGUUUUCAUGUCUAAAAAACGCCAGUUGCAUUCUUCUUGUCCUGCUCCAAUGUCUCCCAAACUUAUGACAAAGACAUUUCUUGUUACUUUUUUAUCUCUGCAUUUACAGGAGGAUUUACUCAAAUUGACAGGUACAAUGAAUUUUAAAUGUUUUAUGUUUAACCUUAAUAAAAAAUGGUAUUG
rnacentral:misc_RNA from 1 species